rnacentral:misc_RNA from 1 species
AAGUCGUAACAAGGUUUCCGUAGGUGAACCUGCGGAAGGAUCAUUAACACGUAUCCAACGUUAAACAACCCUGUGAACUUUAAGCCUACUCUUGCAGCCCAUGAGGAACAGCAAUCCCGGUAAAUCAUUGCCAAACAGUUUUGAUUCGGGACCUGCAGUGGCAUGGCUUCCCCAAGCAGUUAGUGAAUGACAGUGUCACUGACUGUGUAAGGAUAACGCCUCACGGUUGCCAGAGGUCGAUCACCGACCGGCAGACAUGUCACAGGGCCACCGCGCCCCUUAAUCACUCCACUAGAAAAUGCCCCGCCUAGUGGUAACGCGCUAGGUAAAAAAAACCAACAACUGUUAACAAUGGAUAUCUUGGUUCUC